AGAGAAGCUUGCAAAGAUUAGUUGUCAAUCAGAUAAUGAAGUUACUAGUCCAGAUCCUUAUUCAAAUGUUACUUGCUUGGACAUUUUAAACAAUAUGGAAGGGGUGUCCAAUGAGGUUUACGUGAAAGUAAUAAAGGCUUUCAAGGAUCCCGAUUUCAGGGUGUUAUUUGUGAAGAUGCCAGAAGCAAGGAGAUGACCUAUCUUGGAACUACUUUAAAGUACCACUUUAAACUCGAGGCUUGAAGUACUUUUUUCCCCCAUUUUGUGGUGAUGUUGUACUGUUUUCAUUUACAAACAUUGUGAUGUUGUUGGUUGGAG
rnacentral:lncRNA from 1 species